UCGGGAAUAUUGGACAAUGGGGGAAACCCUGAUCCAGCAAUACCGCGUGUGUGAAGAAGGCCUGCGGGUUGUAAAGCACUUUUAGUGGGGAAGAUAAUGACGUUACCCACAGAAAAAGCACCGGCUAGCUCCGUG
rnacentral:rRNA from 1 species